UAGAUGCCGGUGGCGCUGGCGCUGCUUCGCGCGGUUCCGCUCGCCGGGUGAGCUCAGGCUCCGUUGCCCGCCGCGGCGGGACGCGCCCAGCUGCUGCGAACCCAGCGUCGCCGGGUCCGCGCCAGAGGGGCCUCGAUGAGUAGCCAUCGCCGAUGAUGCCAGACGUGCAAGCUUUCUGGCCCCGCCAUUUCCAUCCAGGAUCUCUCGCCCCGGCAUGCGAAGUUAUCGGGUCAUGCCGCCAUUGUUCCCAUCCAGCUGUAAUAAUGGCUUUGAAGAUGUCGAUGGCCGCGACAAGAGAAGCCAACCAGAGGAAGAAGGUUUCUCUCAUCCUAGCGAGAGAGCUGUCUACGAGGAAUACCUCCAGCUGCAGUCCAUCCAUCGAGAAUGUGGAACAAGAUCUAUCUGAGGAAGGCAUGUCAGUUAC